rnacentral:rRNA from 1 species
GACGAACGCUGGCGGUGUGCUUAACACAUGCAAGUCGAACGGUAGGGCCCUUUCGGGGGUACACGAGUGGCGAACGGGUGAGUAACACGUGAGUAACCUGCCCUCAUCUCUGGGAUAACAGUCGGAAACGGUUGCUAAUACUGGAUAUGAGCUUGCAAGGCAUCUUGUGGGUUGGAAAGAUUUUUUUUGGUUGGGGAUGGACUCGCGGCCUAUCAGCUUGUUGGUGAGGUAGUGGCUCACCAAGGCUUCGACGGGUAGCCGGCCUGAGAGGGCGACCGGCCACAUUGGGACUGAGAGACGGCCCAAACUCCGACGGGAGGCAGCAGUGGGGAAUAUUGCACAAUGGACGGAAGUCUGAUGCAGCAACGCCGCGUGCGGGAUGACGGCCUUCGGGUUGUAAACCGCUUUCAAUUGUGACGAAGCUUUUUUGUGACGGUAGCAGUAGAAGAAGCACCGGCUAACUACGUG